rnacentral:ncRNA from 12 species
AAUAAACGAGGACGGAACGGGCAGCCGUCGCCACUUGGGUUAAACUCUUGGCCAGAGUCCAAGGUAGGAGAUGUGGGAACAGGUCGCCCCACCUUAUU